rnacentral:rRNA from 1 species
CUACGGAGGGUGCAAGCGUUGUUCGGAAUUAUUGGGCGUAAAGCGCGUGUAGGCGGCUUGGUAAGUCAGGUGUGAAAGCCCUUAGCUCAACUAAGGAAAGUCAUCUGAAACUGCCAGGCUUGAGUACGGGAGAGGAGAGUGGAAUUCCCGGUGUAGAGGUGAAAUUCGUAGAUAUCGGGAGGAACACCCGUGGCGAAGGCGACUCUCUGGACCGAUACUGACGCUGAGACGCGAAAGCGUGGGGAGCAAACAGCAUUAGAUACCCCGGUAGUCC